rnacentral:tRNA from 1 species
CAGGUAGCUCAGUUGGUAGAGCAGAGGACUGAAAAUCCUCGUGUCGGUGGUUCGAUUCCGCCCCUGG